rnacentral:rRNA from 1 species
GAUGAACGCUGGCGGCGUGCCUAAUACAUGCAAGUCGAGCGAACAGACGAGGAGCUUGCUCCUCUGACGUUAGCGGCGGACGGGUGAGUAACACGUGGAUAACCUACCUAUAAGACUGGGAUAACUUCGGGAAACCGGAGCUAAUACCGGAUAAUAUAUUGAACCGCAUGGUUCAAUAGUGAAAGACGGUUUUGCUGUCACUUAUAGAUGGAUCCGCGCCGGAUUAGCUAGUUGGUAAGGUAACGGCUUACCAAGGCAACGAUGCGUAGCCGACCUGAGAGGGUGAUCGGCCACACUGGAACUGAGACACGGUCCAGACUCCUACGGGAGGCAGCAGUGGGGAAUCUUCCGCAACGGGCGAAAGCUUGACGGAGCAACGCCGCGUGAGUGAUGAAGGUCUUCGGAUCGUAAAACUCUGUUAUUAGGGAAGAACAAAUGUGUAAGUAACUAUGCACGUCUUGACGGUACCUAAUCAGAAAGCCACGGCUAACUACGUG